GACGAACGCUGGCGGCGUGCUUAACACAUGCAAGUCGAACGGAAAGGCCCUGCUUUUGUGGGGUGCUCGAGUGGCGAACGGGUGAGUAACACGUGAGUAACCUGCCCUUGACUUUGGGAUAACUUCAGGAAACUGGGGCUAAUACCGGAUAGGAGCUCCUGCUGCAUGGUGGGGGUUGGAAAGUUUCGGCGGUUGGGGAUGGACUCGCGGCUUAUCAGCUUGUUGGUGGGGUAGUGGCUUACCAAGGCUUUGACGGGUAGCCGGCCUGAGAGGGUGACCGGCCACAUUGGGACUGAGAUACGGCCCAGCCUCCUACGGGAGGCAGCAGUGGGGAAUAUUGCACAAUGGGCGGAAGCCUGAUGCAGCAACGCCGCGUGCGGGAUGACGGCCUUCGGGUUGUAAUCCGCUUUCGCCUGUGACGAAGCGUGAGUGACGGUAAUGGGUAAAGAAGCACCGGCUAACUACGUG
rnacentral:rRNA from 1 species